UGCAAAUGGACUAUCAGAGAUGUAAUUAAGUAGUAAUCAAACUAAAGUGCCACUAAAGUUUGGAAAAGGUAAGUUUAUUUAAUUCCCCAUAUCAAUGUGUGUGUGUGUGUGUGUGUGUGUGUGUGUGUGUGUUUGUUUGUGGGGGGGAAGGAGAGGGGCAACAUAGUUCUGGGCAUAAAAAAUGUUGAGGUAUCAGCACCAGUCUGCAA